AGACUGACACUUUUAAUGUUGAGGCUGUCUCGCUUGGCAACUUGAAGAAAAUUAUAAUUGGCCAUGAUACGACUAAUGAGGGCUGUGGAUGGUUCCUAAACAAAGUUGUCAUCCAUGAUUCAUUACACUCUUCCCAAGAGACGGUAUUUCCAUGCUAUAGCUGGCUUGAUGGAGGCAUGGGAGAUGGAAAAGUUGUUCGCGAGCUAGUAGCCGACAGCAGCAAGCCACCAAACU